GUUCAACACCGAGUACUAACUAAAGUGUUGACCGACAGCGCAUAUGAGCGAACGAAGAGAGCUCAUUACGCAAAUAAAAGUGCCAACACCAAUGACGUAGAACUGGGUGUUGAACAUUACUUAGUGGCGAACGGGUGAGUAACGCGUAGACAACCUGCCUUCUAGAUGGGGACAACACUGCGAAAGUGGUGCUAAUACCGAAUGUUGUAUUGAGCCUGCAUGGGCUCGAUACUAAAGGUGGCCUCUAUUUAUAAGCUAUCACUAGAAGAUGGGUCUGCGUCUGAUUAGCUAGUUGGUGAGGUAAUGGCUCACCAAGGCGAUGAUCAGUAGCCGGUCUGAGAGGAUGAACGGCCACACUGGGACUGAGACACGGCCCAGACUCCUACGGGAGGCAGCAGUGGGGAAUCUUCCGCAAUGGACGAAAGUCUGACGGAGCAACGCCGCGUGAGUGAAGAAGGUUUUCGGAUCGUAAAGCUCUGUCUUUGAGGACGAAUGUGUCUAAUGUGAAUAAUGUUAGAUAAUGACGGUACUCGAGGAGGAAGCCACGGCUAACUACGUGCCAGCAGCCGCGGUAAUACGUAGGUGGCAAGCGUUGUCCGGAAUUAUUGGGCGUAAAGCGCGCGCA
rnacentral:rRNA from 1 species